CCAUGUGGUAGGGAUCAUCUCAGGCAUUUGUCAUAUAUGUAAUUAUAACUGUCUUUAGCUUAUUGAGUCAGCUUUUAGGAUUCUGACAGUCUGAUUUCUGUAGCUUAGAAGGUGCUCUUUCAGAUGGUACACUCUUAAAUUGCAAAUUUAGAACAGGCCAUAGUUUUUUAUUUUCGGGAAAAGACCAUGGGCUGUAGCUAUAUACAGACCACGGUAUUUUGUUAAAACAGGCUGCCCAAUUGAUUUUAACACAUCAUCUAAAAGUGACAUAUUUUUGCGUGUAUUAAUUUCUGCUAUUUCUGCGAAUGAGAGUAAAAUCGCAAAAAUUAAUACUCGCAAAUAAUUGGCCGCCCUCUUGUUUAAUGUAUCCAGAUCGACAUUUCGCAAAAUAUUAUACCGUAAAAUGUACAAAACUGUAAAAACGCAAACAAAUCUACCUGUGAAAAUAUGUCACCUUAACCCUUUCCCCGCUUUAGCCGACUAUAGUCGGCAUGGCUACUGAUAAAUUUCAAAAAAUCGUUGUGCACGCUGUGUUGGAGCUAUGCGCACGCUGCAGGUACCAGCACAUGCGCAUUGAGCUGCUCUUCCACGUGGUAUUUUUAAUAUUUUGCUUGGAGGUACGGUUCGAUCAGAAUUGUCGAAAGAAAAGUGACCGUUUUAUAAUUGCUACAAGAUCUUCGUAGUACAACCUCAGGGAGGUUCUAGGGAAGCUAGAGAGUGAGAAUAUCGAUGCCUAUGGCCUUGUAGAGUGAGAGGACAGUGACUGGGAUCAUAGCUAGGUAGGAAGCUUCCUUUCAGAGGUCAAGCUAAAAAGAAAGAGCCUGAGAAUCCUGAGGAAGACGCACUUGAGGUGGACCAUCUUCCUGAACCUGGUGAAGAAAAUAUUUCCCGGGAAAAGGGCGUCUGCCGAUGAACCUCAAAUACAAGUUUCUGCAGAUCCUGAUUGAGUCCUGAGUCAGCCAUGUCACCGUGAGAACAUUCUGAACACUUAUAUCAUGUGUUCAGUCACUUCGUAACAUCACACAAUAUUGUUUGUGUACAUAAUUAUGAAUUUUUGUUAACAAUUGUUAUUUGUGGGGUGGUGGUUGGUUGCUAGGCAACAAUGAUGAUUCCAUGAAUGCGACAGGUCCGGUUCUACCUGUGGAACUUUGUUACAAGUGUUUUUAAUAUACGGUUCAUGAGUUAUAAAUUUUUUAAACAAAA